rnacentral:tRNA from 1 species
UGGCCAUUAGCAUAACUAGGUAGUGCGCGGGACUGUUAAUCCCGGUGGUGCAGGUUCGAGUCCUGCAUGGUCAGCAA